UGCUUGCUGGCCCUUACUGCACAAUGAUUCUCGGUGAUUUAGGAGCAGAAGUAAUCAAAAUUGAGCGACCAGGAUCAGGGGAUGAUACUCGGUUGUGGGGUCCACCAUUUAAAGGUUCGGAAUCGGUGUACUUCCUCACAAUCAAUAGAAAUAAAAAGAGUGUUGCCGUUGAUAUAAAAUCUGAGAGAGGUCAGGACAUUAUCAGAAAGGUU